rnacentral:rRNA from 1 species
AGUCACUGACAUUAGAUACCCGGGUAGUCCAGGGUGUAAACGCUGCAGACUUGGUGUUGGGAACCCUUCGGGGGUGCUCAGUGCCGGAGAGAAGUUGUUAGGUCUGCUACUUGGGGAGUACGUCCGCAAGGAUGAAACUUAAAGGAAUUGGCGGGGAGCACCACAACGGGUGGAGCCUGCGGUUUAAUUGGACUCAACGCCGGAAAUCUCACCGGAUAGGACAGACAAAUGAUAGUCGGGCUGAAGACUCUACUUGAUGAUCUG